GGGGAUAUAGCUAAGCAGUAGAAUGCUUGCCUCAGAUGCACAUGUACCUGGGUUCGAUACCCAGCAUCUCCC
rnacentral:tRNA from 1 species